UGCACUCCAGCCUGGGCAACAGAGUGAGCCUCUGUCUCAAAAAAAAAAAAAAAAAAAAAAAAGUACUGGGAGGAUCCUGCAGGUGUUGAAGGGUGUAUUCACUUCCUGUUUCUGCUGUAGCAAAAUAUCACACGUUUGAUAUUCUCUUACAGAUCUGGAGGUGCUAAAGUUCAGCAGUCUGAAAUGUAUUGGCAGGCAGGUUCUUUCUGCAGGCUCUGGGGAAGAACCUAUUUCCCUGCCUUCUUCACCUCCUAGAGGCCACCUGCAUUCCCAUGUGGCAGUGGGGAAUGAAAACAGGAAAGUGGCAGCUCUGACCGAAAGCAAUGUGAUUGAUAAAGAGGGUGGGCAGUGGGGGGACAUUUCCUCAAAAGAAAGGAUUGCUAUUCACCGAAGAGGGAGUGAAGUCCUGGGAAGGCAAGAUAACAGGUGUGCACUCAGCUGUGAUAGAGAGGCCGACCAGGCACGCUGUUUGCAGCAAAAUGGGCGUUAUGCUUUGCCCCUGGAGGCGUGGAAGUGGGGCAAGAGGGUAGAGAAAAAGUUGUUCCAGCCACUACGGAUGUGUAACAAGUUACUGCAAAUCUUGUUGACUUAAAAUAGCCACUUGGUUUGCUCAUGAUUUUGUGGGCCAGGAAUUUAGACAGGACUGAGCCUGGCAGGUCUCACUCAGUGUUUCCCUAGCAGCUGCUCAGAUGUCAUCUGAAGGCCCCACAGGGCUGGACGUCCAAGAUGGCUCACUCACAUGGCUGGCAUGGGUUGUGUCCAGGUAGCUCAGCUGGGGCUGCCAACCCAGGGCUCUGCAUGGCUUCUCCAGCAUGGCGGGGUCUCAGAGUAGCUGGACUUCUUAUGUGGUAGCUGGCUUCCCCCUCCCACUGAGUGGGAAUCUUAAGAGGACGAACUGGAAACUUCAUAAUUUUUUUUUUCUUUGAGAUGGAGUCUCACUCUGUUGCCCAGGCUGGAGUGCAGUGGCCUGAUCUCGGCUCACUGAAACCUCCACCCCUGGGUUCAAGCGAUUCCCCUGCCUCAGCCUCCCGAGUAGCUGGGAUUACAGGUGCCCGCCACAGCGCCCGGCUAAUUUUUGUAUUUUUAGUAGAGACAGUGUUUCACCAUCUUGGCUGUUACACGCCUCCGUAUAAGAGACCACCUGAGCAGGCUUAGUGGAGCAACAAGGCUGUUUAUUCACUUGGGUGCAAGUGGGCUGAGUCAGAGAAAGGAGUCAGCGAAGGGUGGUGGGAGUGGAACUGGUUCUAUAGGUUUGGGGUAGGUAGUGGAAAGUUACAGUUAGGGGCAGUUUUUUUGGGCAGGGGAAGAAUGUUACAAGGUGCAUAGUCACAAGGUGGGGGAAGUCAUAAGGCACGAUAUCACAAGGUGGAUGGAUUAGUUGGGGAAGGGCAGGAACAUAUCACAAGGUGGAUGGAUUAAUUAGGGUAGGGAAGGAACAUAUCACAAGGUGGAUGGAUUAGUUAGGGUAGGGAAGGAACAUAUCACAAGGUGGAUGGAUUAGUUAGGGUAGGGCAGGAACAUGUCACAGUGGUGGAUGGAUUAGUUAGGGUAGGGCAGGAACAUGUCACAAGGUGGAUGGAUUAGUUAGGGUAGGGCAGGAACAUGUCACAAGGUGGAUGGAUUAGUUGGGGAAGGGCAGGAACAAUCACAAGGUGGAUGGAUUAGUUGGGGAAGGGCAGGAACAUAUCACAAGGUGGAUGGAUUAGUUGGGGAAGGGCAGGAACAUGUCACAAUGGUGGAUGGAUUAGUUGGGGAAGGGCAGGAACAUGUCACAAUGGUGGAUGGAUUAGUUGGGGAAGGGCAGGAACAUAUCACAAGGUGGAUGGAUUAGUUAGGGUAGGGCAGGAACAUGUCACAGUGGUGGAUGGAUUAGUUGAGGAAGGGCAGGAACAUGCCACAAGGUGGAUGGAUUAGUUGGGGAAGGGCAGGAACAUAUCACAAGGUGGAUGGAUUAGUUAGGGUAGGGCAGGAACAUGUCACAGUGGUGGAUGGAUUAGUUGAGGAAGGGCAGGAACAUGCCACAAGGUGGAUGGAUUAGUUGGGGAAGGGCAGGAACAUAUCACAAGGUGGAUGGAUUAGUUAGGGUAGGGAAGGAACAUAUCACAAGGUGGAUGGAUUAGUUGGGGAAGGGCAGGAACAUAUCACAGUGGUGGAUGGAUUAGUUGGGGAAGGGCAGGAACAUAUCACAAGGUGGAUGGAUUAGUUGGGGAAGGGCAGGAACAUAUCACAGUGGUGGAUGGAUUAGUUGGGGAAGGGCAGGAACAUAUCACAAGGUGGAUGGAUUAGUUGGGGAAGGGCAGGAACAUGUCACAAUGGUGGAUGGAUUAGUUGGGGAAGGGCAGGAACAUGUCACAAUGGUGGAUGGAUUAGUUGGGGAAGGGCAGGAACAUAUCACAAGGUGGAUGGAUUAGUUGGGGAAGGGCAGGAACAUAUCACAAGGUGGAUGGAUUAGUUGGGGAAGGGCAGGAACAUAUCACAAGGUGGACUGUUGCAAGGUCGGUUAAUCAUUAAGGCAGGAACUAGCUGUUCCGUCUUCUUUAGUGGUUCUCCUGUUGCUCCAGGCUUUGUGACUCCAGGAGGCCUGUAACGUGUGGGUCACAGGGGUCACAAUGGCUCGACCAUGGGGUAGCCCAUUCAGGGGACCUUCCACUGGCCAGGUUGGUCUUGAACUCGUGACCUCAUGAUCCACCCGCCUCGGCCUCCCAAAGUGCUGGAAUUACAGGCGUGAGCCACCGCGUCCCGCCCAAAGCUGCAUAAUUUUUUAUCCUCAAAAGUUAAGCAGCUUUCCUUCCCCUACAGUCAGUGUUAUAAGUGAGUCACUAACGUCAGCCCACUUUUGAGUAGAGGGGACAUAGAUUCCCACAGCUCAAUGGGAGGAGUGUCAAAAAAAUGUAUGAGCAUAUUUUAAAACCAUUGCAAAGUAUGUCAUGGGGAGAGUGUCCAGAGGAGAGAUGACUGAGUUGGGUUAAAUUGCCAGGCCAGGCACAGUGGCUCAUGUCUGUAAUCCCAGCAUUUCGGGAGGCCGAGGCGGUAAAAUCUCUUGAGGCCAGGAGUUUGAGACCAGCUUGGGAAACAUAGCGAGACCCCCAUCUCUACAAAAAAUUUAAAAAUUAGCCAGGUGUGGUGGUGCAUGCCUAUGGUCCCAGCUACUUGGGAGGCUUAGGUGAGAGGAUCGCUUGAGCCCAGGAGUUCGAGGCUGCGUUGGGCCACGACUGCACCACUGCACUCCAGCCUGAGUGACAGGGUGAGACCGUCUCAAAAAUAAAUGAAUAAAUAAAUAAAUUGCCAGGCCACAGAAAAUGCUUAAGUAUUACAACUGGUAAAUCAUAAGAGUUAUGGUUGAUGUGGCUCCCAGUCAGUUGAGUGGUAAUGGGGCUGGUGGACUCAUGUUUGGGAACGAAGAAGAGAGAAGGUUCAAGAGUGAGAACUGAAAUCACUGCUGUCUCUCCAUCCCUGUCCCAGGGGAAAAUCCAUUGCCCAGCCAUUACCAGCUCCUUGAGACUGCCUGCAUUUCUUGGCUCGAGACCCCUUCUUCGGAUCUCCCCAGUCUCUUGCCUCUGCCAGCACAUCCCCUGCCACUGACCCUGACUCUCCUGUAUCCCUCUCAGAAGGAUCUUGUGAUUACAUGGGGUCCAUGUCGAUAAUCCUGCAUGACUUCCCCACUUCAAAAUCCUUAGUCAUAUCUGCAAAAUCCCUUUCACCAUCUAAAAUAACAUACUCAUGGGUUCUGGGGUUUAGGGGCCCAAUGCUCCUAGUACCUUUCAUGGGAAUCUUUACCUCCAGAAAUGGGGAGAAGUGGGCAGGGACUCCCUUCAUACACAAGACACGGCUGCCUCCUGCCACAACCCCAAAUACUUAUACACUUGCCUUUUUACAUCUGAGCUGGAACGACCCCACCUCAAUGUCAUGGGGCCAGGGUGGGAGACAGAGGAGCUACAACAUCUGCUUGGCUAUUGUUAGGGACAAACAAAGCAGCCACGGUUGCUUAGUGAUGACUUCUGGUUCCACCUGAGUGCUUUGGCCACCCAUAUUGCUCUCAGAGCUCUUUAAAGAUGAGUUAUUGUGCCCGGAGUGGUGGCUGAUGCCUGUAAUCCCAGGACUUUGGGAGGCUGAAGUGGACAGAUCACCUGAUGUUAGGAGUUCAAGACCAGCCACCUAACCAACAUGGAGAAACCCCAUCUCUACUAAAAGUACGAAAUUAGCAGGGCAUGGUGGCGCAUGCCUGUAAUCCCAGCUACUCUGGAGGCUGAG
rnacentral:lncRNA from 1 species